CUGUGGUCACAGACUCUUCCACACGGUUGGCAGCAGUCCUCUCUGCUCUCAUUUUCUGAGUGGCAGCUUGCCUGAUUCGUGACCUGCGAGCUUUCUGCCUGGCGAGGAAGGGGACAGGAGCGACUGGAGGUGGCAGUGAUAUGUGGACAGUGAUCCCACAGAAAUGAGAAGGAUAGAUAAAGACAGCAAAAACAGGGCUCCUCAUCUUCAACCUUCUCCAAGGAUAAAAUUAGGAGCUCUAGACUAGACGACCUGUGUUCCAGGCCAUGGAUAACUGAUACAUUCAUCAGACAUUCAAGCUUGGCUGGAGAGGAGGCCCAGGAGAUGCUGGGAUGUAAGGACAAGGCACACGUAUUUUACUUGGGCAGAAGGUUUCGUUUGAAAAAGGAGAAGUCAAAAUAGAGACCAAAAAGAUCCAGGGACUCGGAACUCGGGUGCCUUUAAAAUGAACAUGUGAAUGUUAAAAGAAAAUAAAAAGAAGUAAGUAUACA
rnacentral:lncRNA from 1 species